CCAGACUCCUACGGGAGGCAGCAGUGGGGGAUAUUGCACAAUGGGGGGAACCCUGAUGCAGCGACGCCGCGUGAGGGAAGACGGCCUUCGGGUUGUAAACCUCUGUCGCAGGGGACGAAGAAGAUGACGGUACCCUGUGAGGAAGCCACGGCUAACUACGUGCCAGCAGCCGCGGUAAUACGUAGGUGGCGAGCGUUGUCCGGAUUUACUGGGUGUAAAGGGAGCGCAGGCGGCACGGCAAGCCUGAUGUGAAAGCCCGCGGCCCAACCGCGGGACUGCAUUGGGAACUACCGGGCUGGAGUGCCGGAGAGGUAGGCGGAAUUCCUAGUGUAGCGGUGAAAUGCGUAGAUAUUAGGAGGAACACCAGUGGCGAAGGCGGCCUACUGGACGGUGACUGACGCUGAGGCCCGAAAGCGUGGGGAGCAAACAGGAUUAGAUACCCGUGUA
rnacentral:rRNA from 1 species